rnacentral:rRNA from 1 species
AGCGAGUAUUUCCUUGACCGGAAGGUCCGGGUAAUCUUGUUAAACUCUGUCGUGCUGGGGAUAGAGCAUUGCAAUUAUUGCUCUUCAACGAGGAAUCCCUAGUAAGCGCAAGUCAUCAGCUUGCGUUGAUUACGUCCCUGCCCUUUGUACACACCGCCCGUCGCUACUACCGAUUGAAUGGCUCAGUGAGACCUCCGGACUGGCCCAGAGAGGUGGGCAACUACCACUCAGGGCCGGAAAGUUGUUCAAACUCGGUCAUUUAGAGGAAGUAAAAGUCGUAACAAGGUCUCCGUUGGUGAACCAGCGGAGGGAUCAUUACCGAGUUAUUACUCCAAACCCUUUGUGAACCUUACCUAUGUUCUGUUGCCUCGGCGGGGAGGAAGACCCCUUAAAAAGGGCCCAGCCCCCGCCGGCCGCACCCA